rnacentral:rRNA from 1 species
UACGAAGGGGGCUAGCGUUGCUCGGAAUUACUGGGCGUAAAGGCUCGUAGGUGGCCAACUAAGUCAGACGUGAAAUCCCUCGAGCUUAACUGGGGAACUGCGUCUGAUACUGGAUGGCUUGAGUUUGGGAGAGGGAUGCGGAAUUCCAGGUGUAGCGGUGAAAUGCGUAGAUAUCUGGAGGAACACCGGUGGCGAAGGCGGCAUCCUGGACCAAUACUGACACUGAGGAACGAAGACGCAAGGGGAGCAAACGGG